UGGGGAAUAUUGCACAAUGGGGGAAACCCUGAUGCAGCGACGCCGCGUGAAGGAAGAAGGUCUUCGGAUCGUAAACUUCUAUCAGCAGGGAAGAAGGAAGUGACAGUACCUGAGUAAGAAGCCCCGGCUAACUACGUGCCAGCAGCCGCGGUAAUACGUAGGGGGCGAGCGUUAUCCGGAAUUACUGGGUGUAAAGGGUGCGUAGGCGGUAUGGCAAGUCAGUUGUGAAACCCCCUGGCUCAACCAGGGGCUUGCAAUUGAAACUGUCAUACUAGAGUGCAGGAGAGGAAAGCGGAAUUCCUAGUGUAGCGGUGAAAUGCGUAGAUAUUAGGAAGAACACCAGUGGCGAAGGCGGCUUUCUGGACUGUAACAGACGCUGAGGCACGAAAGCGUGGGGAGCGAACAGG
rnacentral:rRNA from 1 species